UUAUGUCAUAUGGGUUUGAGAUGUCAUGGUUUGAGGCUUGCUGUGACAACUAUGAGGAAAACCGCUGCAACCUAGACAUUGCCAACAUUACGGAAAACUGUUACGGAAAACGAAUAUCCAGGUUCCGUCUUGACGUCGUCUUUCUGCUACUGAGUAUACGCUACCUGGGUAGGAAAGAUAUUGCUGGCGGUUAUGGUGAUACAAGAGUGACAAUUUAUUAUGCUGGAUUAAAAGAGAUAUUUGGUUUAGCUAAUGGGUUGAUUAAUGACCUGUAUACUAACCGGAUUCCCAAUGGCAGGUCAAUAAGAUAUGCCGGAUAUUAUGUCUUGGGUUUGCUUACUUAUUUAAUUUCUUUCUUUGUGGUAUGUCGUGCAACAUUAACCUUAUGUGGGAUAAUAGGUCUUCUCUCCUUUUGGAUUUAUAAAUGGCAAAGGAGACAUUUAUCAAAAUAUGAUAAUAUUGAAGAGUUUCUUCAAAGUUAUGAUAAUCUCUUCCCAAUUAGAUACUCUUACUCAGAAAUUAUUAAGAUAACAAACGGUUUCAAAGAAAAGCUGGGAGAAGGAGGUUUUGGCUCUGUAUACAAAGGAAAACUCCGGAGUGGUAAUUUUGCUGCAGUAAAAAUGUUGAACAUGUCCAAAGGUAACGGUCGAGACUUCAUCAAUGAAGUUGCUACAAUUGGGAGCAUUCGUCACAUUAAUGUGGUUCGUCUUGUUGGUUUUUAUGCUGCGAAAUCUAAACGUGCUCUCGUAUAUGAGUGCUCUCGUAUAUGAUUUCAUGUCUAAUGGAUCUCUCGAGAAGUAUAUAUUUUCGGAAGAACGUAGCAAUUUGAUACCCAUUGAGAAAAUGUAUGAGAUUUCUCUAGGAGUGGUUCGCGGGAUUGACUAUCUUCACCGAGGCUGUCAUAUAAAAAUAUUACAUUUUGAUAUCAAGCCACAUAACAUUCUUCUCAAUGAAAAUUUCUUGCCAAAAAUUUCAGAUUUCGGACUUGCAAAAUUAUAUUCGACCGAUGAGAGUAUUGUGUGUCUCAUAGCAGCGAGGGGAACAAUGGGUUACAUGGCUCCAGAACUAAUCUACAAGAACAUUGGAAGUAUAUCUCAUAAAGCUGAUGUGUAUAGUUUUGGGAUUUUGUUAAUGGAAAUGGUGGGAAGAAGAAAGCACUUGAAUGCAUUUGCUGGCGCGGCAUGUAAGGCCAAAGGUCUAUUUUUCCGACAUGGGUUUAUGAACAAUUAA